CAAAAGGCGAUGACGGAAACGAGUAGGUGCGCACCGGGGCGCCAGCGAGUUGGGGAUGGUGGAAGCCCAACGCCUACGACGCACCGAAAAUCCUUCCCGAGCCUCUCCCCGAAACGCCGUGCGGCGGAGUAGACGGAGACGGGGGUCGCCGUCCGUUACCAACGGCGCGGGUGUACUGGCACCCGUCAGGAGUGGCCUGCCUGUGCAGGCAACAAGGGUGGUACCGCGAGCCAAACGCUCGUCCCUUGA
rnacentral:ncRNA from 1 species